rnacentral:rRNA from 1 species
UACGUAGGGGGCUAGCGUUGUCCGGAAUCAUUGGGCGUAAAGCGCGCGUAGGCGGCCAGAUAAGUCCGGUGUGAAAGUCAAAGGCUCAACCUUUGAAUGCCGCUGGAAACUGUCUGGCUUGAGUCCGGAAGGGGCGAGUGGAAUUCCUGGUGUAGCGGUGAAAUGCGCAGAUAUCAGGAGGAACACCAAUGGCGAAGGCAGCUCGCUGGAACGGUACUGACGCUGAGACGCGAAAGCGUGGGGAGCAAACAGG